ensembl:lncRNA MIR9-3HG MIR9-3 host gene
GGCUUCCGGUAAGAGCCCCCCUGACUGGGCUGCCCACCCCGGGCAGGGGCGGAAACGGCCUUCCCCGCGUGGGGAACAAUGGCGUUAUUUUGGAGUCUGCAACCGCGAGCGCUUCAAGCUCUUUGAUUAUUUUCGAGGAGUGUUAGCUGUCCGCAUUGACCCACCGCGACCUCGAAGCAGGUCCCAGGCGUGUGCAUUUAUAUGCAGAGUGACCAAGAAACUUCAGUAAUACUAGUUUGUGUCUUUGGAGUCCCACUUUUUGCCAGGGCUAGUGCUAACAGCUUCAGGAGAAUUCAGCCUCACCUUGACAGGACAUGCUCUGGAGUCAGAAGACAGCGAAAAGAGAAGCAGAAGCCCCGGUGGCAAGAGUCUGAAGGAAGGAUGACUGUAGCCUGUGGAUUGUACUGCAGUAGGAAACUGUCCUAGCAAGGCUCCACUUUGCCCCAGCUUCAAGCUGGAAAGGAGGAGAACAUGAAACAUUGCUUGAAGACAAUGGCCGAGACAGCAGGUCCCACCCUGCACAGCCACCAGCAUCUCUCCCCUCAGCCCUGUCUCCUCUUCUGCAGUUGGGAUCUGCACAUUUAAGCCUGAAAUUGUCCUGUGAAGUGAAGUAUGAUCGGACAGCCUCUUUUCAGCUUUUAUGACAAUGGAGACAGAGGAAUUGUGGCUCUUGCCAAGGUCACAGGAUUGGAAUACAGAGCCAAGCCACCCCAGGACAUGCAAGAGCCUCAGAAGGGAAAAAAGCCCAGCAGGAAGGGAGAACAAGUAGCCUCUGUCCUGAAGUUGUAACAGCCAGGGGCCAGGAUGGAGGAGGAGGACCCCAUAAUCUGCCCAUCUGGGACUUGGCAGGGGACCUGGGAAAAUGUACCCCAACCCAUCCCUUAAGGGCCUUUGUCUUUGGCCCAUUGGCCUAGCAUCUACUUCUUCACCGUGUCUGUUCUUGUCACACCUAGUCAGGUCUGUUUGGGUCUGAGGUGCAUGGAACAUUCUGGGUAGGCCUCCAGCAAACGGAAGCUCUUCACCGUGUUUCCAGCCUGGGACCAAGGGCAGCAUACUGGCAAAGUUGCCAAAGCAAGGGACUCCAGCCUCUUAGGAGUUAAUGACUCCCUCUCCCCAGCUGUCCUCCCCUUGGUGCUCCUCUUCCUCCCUCCUCCUGCUCACAGCAGGCAGGGCCUAGACCCGGGAGCCAUGCUGCUGUGCUGUUGCCAGGGGAGCACGGAGGCAGAUCUGAGCUAUGCAGGGAAAAGGCCCAGCCUGUCAAAGUGUCUGAGAUGAACCGCCGCCGUCCCUGUGCAGCUGGGCUCAGACGUGUCUCAGCUCUUGUUCUGUGCCUGAGAAUGGCGAAACCCAGUGAGGUUCAAGGGCAAACUCGCUAUUCAUUAGUCAGGGGUUCUUGACGUCCCGUCUCUCCCAGGGAUGAGUUCCCCCCUCCUCUUUCUCCCCCUCCUAUGACACAUUCCUGGGUGCCUUUGGUGAGGACUGCACACCCUCCUCCUGCCUAGCCCCCUCUCCAAAGGCCCCUGAAUAAACUCCCCCCAAGGAGACCAGGCAGGGCAGAGACAAUGGCUGCAGGAAAUCAUUCAGGCGGGACAUGCUGGCCUGCCCUCCACCCAGUCCCCCUGUGGGCCCCACUCCCUUCUGAUUCAGGGCACCCUUGGGCCCCCAGCCUAUACAGGCCUGGACAGGAAGAAACCACUGGGAACCACCCUAAGGACAACAUGCUAGUCCAGUGCCAUUCUUCGCUGGCUCUGUGGGUGCCUUUGUGGCCUGUACCGACUGGCUGGCUAAUUUUGUGGUUUCUGUACCAUCACAUGCCUAUUUUAAGACACUCUCCAGCACUGUCGGUUAGGGAGUGUAAAUUUUGCAAUAUUUUCUGAAAUGUGGCAAUAUCAAAAUGUAAAAGGCACACAUACUUGGUCACAAACAAAUGGCACUAUUUACUCUGUGGGCAUAUUUGUAAAAGUUGCCAAAGAAUUAUAUACAAGGAUGUUCAUCAGAGCAUUUCUUUUGAAGAGUAAAGAAAUGGACAUGAA